GGAUUGCCUCAGUAACGGCGAGUGAAGCGGCAACAGCUCAAAUUUGAAAUCUGGCCCCCGCGGGGUCCGAGUUGUAAUUUGCAGAGGGUGUUUCGGGGGCGGCCCGGUCUAAGUCCCUUGGAACAGGGCGUCGCAGAGGGUGAGAAUCCCGUAUGUGACCGGUGACCAACCCCGCGCGAAACCCCUUCGACGAGUCGAGUUGUUUGGGAAUGCAGCUCAAAAUGGGUGGUAAAUUCCAUCUAAAGCUAAAUACCGGCCAGAGACCGAUAGCGCACAAGUAGAGUGAUCGAAAGAUGAAAAGCACUUUGGAAAGAGAGUUAAACAGUACGUGAAAUUGUUGAAAGGGAAGCGCUGGCGACCAGACCUGCCCCGGGCGAUCAGCGGCUGUUCUCAGCCGUGCACUCGCCCGCGAUCAGGCCAGCAUCGGUUCCGGCGGCCGGAGAAAGACUCGGGGAACGUAGCUCCCCCCGGGGAGUGUUAUAGCCCCGGGUGCAACGCGGCCAGCCGGGACCGAGGACCGCGCUUCGGCUAGGAUGCUGGCGUAAUGGUCGUCAGCGACCCGUCUUGAAACACGGACCAAGGAGUCUAACAUUCAUGCGAGUGUUUGGGUGUCAAACCCACGCGCGCAAUGAAAGUGAACGGAGGUGAGAACCCUCCAGGGCGCAUCAUCGACCGAUCCAGAUGUCUUCGGAUGGAUUUGAGUACGAGCAUGACUGUUGGGACCCGAAAGAUGGUGAACUAUGCCUGAAUAGGGUGAAGCCAGAGGAAACUCUGGUGGAGGCUCGCAGCGGUUCUGACGUGCAAAUCGAUCGUCGAAUUUGGGUAUAGGGGGCGAA
rnacentral:rRNA from 1 species